rnacentral:lncRNA from 1 species
UAGCCUGUUUUACCAGGUGAUCCGCUACAUCGUUAGCCUCUCUAAAGUAGUGAGUUGCUUUAACAUUAGCUUGUUUCAUUCUUUGUUGUAUCUCCUCAAUGAUGAAAUUCAGCAUGUAGUUGGAUUACUGGUUGUUCAAAAUCAUAGGAAAUAGGUUCAAAGAGUCUCUCUUUGGUGAAAUUCUUCAGAUUUUUCAAAAUGCAGAGGCUCUUAGUCCAAAACUGGCAGCCUUAGCUUCUGCUUCUGUGAUGCUGCUACCACUCGAAGGUGAGGAGAAAGCGAAGAUGAGAUUGCCUCUAUCAUCCCUCAAAACUCCCCUCAUACCAAAUUUUCCACUAGCUGAGCAGUAGCUUCCGUCAGUUUUCAAUUUAAUGACGCCAUUUUCAGGGAACUUCCAGCAUACAAUAGAAAGGUUUGAGGCAGGUUUCAGCUUCACAAAUUUUUCACAAAGAGUGAUCCAAAGUUAUGUCGAACCAACUUUUGGAUAGCUUUAGCAAUUGUACUCUGAAUGCUGCACCCAAUGAGUUGGAUCAUCAUAUAUCUGUUGAGAUUCCUUAAGCCUCCAUAAUUACUACGCUCGGACCUUUGAUUCUAAAUCUCCAAGCAGAUAAGGCCUGGUAUAGUUUGAAGAACUAGCGUGUCGGUGGAGUUAUUUGAUUUUUGAUUCCACCAGUUGUAAGUUCUGAUUGCCAGUGGCCCUCCAAAGUGCUUCCACACAUAUUGAGCUGCCUCUCCAUGAAGAAAAACAUGUUGCAUUUGAUUUUCAAUUUAGGAAGAGAGCAGCAGUUGCAUAGAGUAUCCUUCAGAAUACCAAAUAUGCUAAUGACUUAGUCAAAGGAAAAUUUUCACUGCCAGAAUUUCCAAACGAAAAAUGAAAUCUUAAAAGGAAUGUUGGAGUUCCAUACCUGAUCAAUAUUGUGGUCUGUUAGAAUAUUUCCCAUCUUCUGUGAGGUCCCAAAAGACCUUAUCUUGAGUGUCAUACUUGCCAAUUCCAAUGGUCUUGAUAUAUUGAAUUGUGCUAUCUCAUAGGAUGUUCUGCAUCUUUGCAUUAUCCCAAGUUCCAUUGGUAAUGAAAUGUCUUACUAGAGUCUCGGUAUUUUUCUCUGUUUCAUGGUAAUCAUUGGCUAGAGGACCUUUGCUACUCCAGUUGUCCCACCAAAAACUACAAUUUCCAGAAGGGUAGUAAUCAGAAAAGAAAAUUGUGGAGAUAGUAUAAACCAAGUAUUGGUGUUGUCAAAGACUCAGAAGCGAGGUGCAAAACAGUUCGAGUGCUUCACCCUCACUUAGUUGGCGCUUCAGUGCAGCCACAAAGGUACUAAAGCAUACACCUUAUCACCAAUGGGCUUUAUCCUUGCACGUAAAUUUCUAAAUUCUUUUAUCCUUACUAUAAUUUUCAUUUGUACAAUAAAUUUCUAAGUGCAAUAAUUUGGUUUCACAAGAAUGGUUUUGAUCUCAAUCUGAUUAGUUAUACACUUCUGAUUAAAGGAUAUUCAACUUUUGGCGAUCUUGUAGAGGUUGUUUAAGGAGAUAGAGCCAAAUUUUCAUUUAUACACCUCCAUAAUUAGUGGUUAGAGUAAGUUAGGUAAUGUUAUGAAGGAAUUUUCAACGUUUGUUGAAAUGGUGGAGAGAGGCCUCAUUCCUGAUGGUCACACAUAUGGAGCUUUGAUAAAUGGCUUCUGCAAGGAGCUGAAGUUUUACAAAAUGAGAUGCAAGGCAAGGACAUUAGCAUAGACCGGGUCAUAUUUAAUACGAUGAUGGAUGGUUAUUGUAAGCAAGAUAAUGUGGAUGAAGCACUGAGGCUACAUACAAUUAUGGAGGGUGAAGGACAUCAGCCUGAUGCAAAUGCUUACAAUAUAAUUGCUACGAGCCUGCUUAAGCUAGAAUUGUAUGAUGAAGCAAAAAUGUUGUUGCUCUCAAUGGUGGAUCGAGGUGUAGCUCUAGAUACAAUUAGUUAUACAACUUUGAUCGAUAUUUAUUGCAAGGAGGGAAAUUUUGUGGAAGCAAAAAGGGCACUUAUUGAGAUGGAAACUAAGGCAAUUAAGCCUAACACGGCAACAUACACUCCACUGGUAGAUGGUUAUUGCAAGCUGGGAAAAAUUGUUGACGCAAAAAGGAUACUUAGGGUGAUGGAAACUGAAGGAGUUAAACCUAACACAACAACAAACAGUGUCUGUGCCCUGAUAGACACUUAUUGUAAGCAAGGAAAUUUCAUCGAAGCAAAAACGACAUUUAGUGAGAUUGGAACUAAGCCUAACACAAUAAUAUACACUGCCCUGAUAGAUGGUUAUUGCAAGGUGCGAAAUCCUGCUAAAGCUGAAAAGGAACUUAUUGAGAUGGAAACUAAGGGAGUUAGCCUAACACGGUAACGUAUACUGCCAUGAUAGAUAGUUGUUGCAAGGUGGGAAAUAUUGCUAAAGCAAUAAAGGUACUUAUUGAGAUGGAAACUAAGGGAGUUAAGCCUAACACAGUAACGUACACUGCCCUGAUAGAUGGUUGUUGCAAGUGGGAAAUAUUGCUAAAGCAAUAAAAAUACUUAUUGAGAUGGAAAAUAAGCCUAACGCAAUUACUUACAAUGCUCUGAAGAUGGUUAUUGUAAGAAAGGUACGAUGAAAGAAGGUUUGAGAUGGAUACUAAGGGAGUUAAACCUAACACAAUUACUUACAAUGCCCUGAAGAUGGUUAUUGUAAGAAAGGUACGAUGAGAGAAGAUUUAAGGAUUGUCAUGAUGUCCAUACAUACACCUCUUAUAUUACAUUGAGAAUACAUAUCAGGAAAAGUAGAUGUUGCUUUGAAGCUUUUCAUCGAGAUUCCUACAAAGGGUUUAGUUCUGGAUGUGGUGAUUUUCAGAACGAUGAUUUCUGGCCUAUCAAAAAAUGGCAAAUCAAAUGAAGCCUUCAGAUUAUACAAUCUGAUGAUAGAGGCAAGCCUAACACUCGGUGUUGUUACAUACCAUGCACUUGUGGAUAUACUAACUUGUAAGUCAUUAAUUUCACAUAAGUCAGACCUAGCUAAUUGGAGGCAUAACAAAUUGUUUAGCACUUCUUCAUGGUGUUUUACUUGAGCAAACUGAAUUAUAUGGUGCAGGACAUCCUGCAGAAAUUUGGUGUUCCUAGCUUGUUACUGCAAAUCUUAGGUGUUGUCCAUGGACAUUGUCUGCCAUAAACUCAAGGUUGAUAGCGAUUUGAGACCCAAGAAAGAGCAAAACUGCAGCUCAGAAUUUAGCAGCUUGAUUUACUUCAUUUAGACAAUGAUCUAAGAAAACUGGAGAUAUAUAGCCUUAUGACUCUGUAAGUAUGCAAAUGACAUUACGAUAUAAAACUUGCUAUUAUUUGAAUCAACAUACUGUUGCCUUAAUAAAAAAUAUUUGAAUCAACCAUGAGAUUAAAUAACUGUGGGCUUUAAAGAUAAAUAUUGUUCAUUAUGAUGGGAAUUUACUUGCUUAGUGUGUAAUUUCAACUUUUGAGGCAUUUGGUUCAAAAUGUUCCGCUACAUGUUCAUUCUUAAAGCAACAGUAUUGCUUCUUAGGUCGUCUAGUACAUUAUUCUCUUGAAAAUGGAAGAACCAGAAUAAAAGAAGUGCGUUACUCUGGAGAUGUAUUACAAAUUUUAGGUUUUGUUACCUUUUUGGUUGAGUGGCCUAGCUUCUAAUCAUUUUUAUACGGUUAUAUGACCUAAAUUUUAACAUGUAAUAUAGAAGCUGGAUCCUUUUUAUGGCGGUCAUGUGAUUUAAUAGUCAGUUACCUUCAUUAGGAAGAAGAAGAAAAACAAAGUGACUACCUUGUUCCUUUUAUCAUUUUCUUGGAGUUCCAAUACAUAUAACUUCUUGCAGGGUGGGUCAAUUUACACCAGAACAAUCAUUUUUUGAAAGUCUUAACAAAAUUUUGCAAAGAAAGACUCUACUAGUCUUAUCUUGCCUACAAUACGAGAUUGACAACUAUCCCACAGGCCUGCCAUAGAUUUCUCAGUUAGUUGUUGCCUUGUAAAAUACUUUGGAUCAAGUUAUAGAAAACUUCCUUCCACUGCAGUAAGCCAGUACCUAACGUGUUUGAUCAAUUUCUGGACCAAUUCUUAAUAGUCCAAAAUCAAAAACUUUAGCCCUGAGAUUUUUAUCAAGCAAUAGGUUUGGAGAUUUGAUGUCAAAUCGGAUAAUUGUCUGGUGAAAAGUAUGAAGAUAAUGAAGUCCUCUGAGAGUUUCAGGCCUUUGCGUUCAAAUUUGGAAGGUCUGAGACAUACAAAUAAUCCUUAAAGAGUUCCAUUCACCAUUGUCAUAAGUAAUAAUCUUCUCAUUCUUUUCAUCGCAGUACCCAAUGAUAUACCUUUGCCAUUUUCCAACCUUAGUGAUACAUGUAUAUCCUACCUAUAUGUAGCAUCUAGAAUAGGUAACCACUCUACUUUAGUGUUACAUAAGACUCCUAUAAGAACAGAAGAUUACCUAAAUGAGUGUCUGGUUUCAUUUCAAUAUUCUAAAUCUGAUAUAGGGCAAAUUCAUUUUUUGCCGCCUCCGUAGCAAAAUUACAUAAUUAAAACACUCCUUCAAUCUGUGGCUAUAUACUGAGGUUAAGUCCUUAAUUUUCUCUCGAUACUUUAUUUGCAUUGAACUUCAUCCUUUAAUGUGGUUUCAAUAUUUGCUCGGCCUUUAUACGGGCUACACAGUUUAAAUUGCUCCUAUAACUCGAAAGUUCAGGCCAUCUCUUUGAAGUUCUUGACAAAUCAGGAUAUAGCGUAUAUACUAGAUUAUGUUGGCUACAUUGCACUAGGAUGAUCCCUCUAUCUAUUCAUACAUUAAUCCACAAAAUUAUUACAUGUCUACAUAAACUAGGUAUUUCUGUAGAGUUUAGCACUCUGUUUCAUCUGUCAAAAAUUGAAGCACCAGAUAACUAUACUUAUUUGUAUUGUUUGAUUGAUGUACAGUGAGUAAAUCUAUAUCUCCACUCAAAAGUUUAUAUUAUGUCCUCUGAUGCAGUAACUUCAAAGACAUUUCUGCAUUCAUAUGAGGACCAUUUUAGCUGCAUGUGCUCGAUCAUCAGUGGAGUACUAUGAAGUUCUCCUUCUGCAUUCCUCAUUUUCCUUACAAAGACUCAAGUCACCAACUUUCCUCUUUUUCUGAAUUUGUGAAGACAAUUCGUAUCAGUCUGUUGAUACACUUAGCUUUUUCAGAUAGAGAGAAGAUUCAAUUACAGUUGAGUGGAAUGGGGAGUUGUAAACCUUGAAGAGAUUGUUGAAAGAGAAGUGUUGACGAAGAUACUGAGCUAUGAAAACGGCGAAAAUUUUCUCUCUAUCUGAAAAAGUUAAGUGUAUCAACACACUGAUACGAAUUAUCUUCACAAAUUCAGAAAAAAAGAGAAAAGUUGGAGACUUUGAGUCUUUGUAAGGAAAGUGAGGAAUGCAGAAGGAGAACUUCACAGUACUCCACUGAUGAUCGAGCACAUGCAGCUAAAAUGGUCCUCAUAUGAAUGCCAGAAAUGUCUUUGAAGGUACUGCAAAUUGCAUUAAAGGAUAUAAUCUAAACUUUUGAGAGGAGAUAUAGAUUUGCUCACUGUACAUCAAUCAAACAAUACGAAUAAGUAUGGUUAUCUGCUGCUUCAAUUUUUGACAAAUGAAACAGAGUGCUAAACUCUAUAGAAAUACCUAGUUUAUGCAGACAUGUAAUAAUUCCGUGGAGCAAUGUAUGAAUAGAUAGAGGGAUCAUCCUAGUGCAAUGUAGCCAAAAUAAUCUAGUAUAUACAUUAUAUCCUGAUUUGUCAAGAACUUCAAAGAGAUGGCCUGAAUUUUCGAGUUACAGGUGCAAUUUAAACUGUGUAGCCAGUAUAAAGGCCGAGCAAAUAUUGAAACCACAUUAAAGGAUGAAGUUCAAUGCAAAUGGAGUAUCGAGAGAAAAUUAAGGACUUAAGCUCAGUAUAUAGACACAGAUUGAAGGAGUGUUUUAAUUAUGGCCGAAGGAAGAUUUCUGAAUAUUUACCUAAAUAAUCACACUAAAGUCUAGGCAAAGUCGUGUGGACAACAAUGGAUUGAAAAAAAGAAUAUUAUCGCAAAAGUCAAACUAAAAACUGAUUCCAAGGGCUAGGGGGAAUGGGUUGUUCCCUUGGAAGAUCUCGUCUUUAGUGAGAGACAUUAUUCUAUUAGGAAAUGAGAUGCAAUUAGUUUCGUUUAUAAAUUCUAAUAAGGCAAUGUACUAGAUGAUGUUCUAGCUAACGAUGUCGUUGAUGCUCAAUAAUAUCUUUUAUUUAUGUAAUUUUGCUACGUAGGCGGCAAAAAAUGAAUUUGUCAUAUAUCAGAUUUAGAAUAUUGAAAUGAAACCAGACACUCAUUUAGGUAAUCUUCUGUUCUUAUAGGAGUCUUAUGUAACACUAAAGUAGAGUGGUUACCUAUUCUACAUGCUAGAUGCUACAUAUAGGUAGGAUAUACAUGUAUCACCAAGGUUGGAAAAUAGCAAAGGUAUAUCAUUGUGUACUCCGACGAAAAGAAUGAGAAGAUUAUUACUUAUGACAAUGGUGAAUGGAACUCUUUAAGGAUCAUCGGUAUGUCUCAAACUUUCCAAAUUUAAAUUUGAACGCAAAGGCUUGAAACUCGCAUAGGAUCAGAGGACUUCAUUAUCUUCAUACUUUGCAGCAAGCAAUCAUCCGCUUUGACAUCAAAUCUCCAAACCUAUUGCUUGAUAAAAAUCUCAGGGCUAAAGUUUUUGAUUUUGGACUAUCAAGAAUUGGUCCAGAAAUCAAUCAAACACGCUAGGUACUGGCUUACUGCAGUGGAAGGAAGUUUUCUAUAACUUGAUCCAGAGUAUUUUACAAGGCAACAACUAACUAAGAAAUCCAUGGCAGGCCUGUGGGGAUAGUUGUCAAUCUCGUAUUAUAGGCAAGAUAAGACUAGAGUCUUUGCAAAAUUUUGUUAAGACUUUCAAAAAAUGAUUGUUCUAGUGUAAAUUGACCCACCCUGCAAGAAGUUAUAUGUAUUGGAACUCCAAGAAAAUGAUAAAAGAACAAGCUAGUCACUUUGUUUUUCUUCUUCUUCCUAAUGAAUGAAACUGACUGUUAAAUCACAUGAUAGCCAUAAAAAGGUGAUCCAGCUUCUAUAUUACAUGCUAAAAUUUAGGUCAUAUAACCGUAUAAAAAUGAUUAGAAGCUAGGCCACUCAACCAAAAAAGUAACAAAACCUAAAAUUUGUAAUACAUCUCCACCAGCAUCUCCAGAGUAACAAACUUCUUUUAUUCUGGUUCUUCCAUUUUCAAGAGAAUAAUGUACUGGACGACCUAGGAAGCAAUACUGCUUUAAGAACGAACAUGUAGCGGAACAUUUUGAACCAAAUGCCUCAAAAGUUGAAAUUACACACUAAGCAAGUGAAUUCCCAUCAUGACUUCGUAAUGAACAAUAUUUAUCUUUAAAGCCCACAGUUAUUUAAUCUCAUGGUUGAUAUUUCAUGUUGAUUCAAAUAUUUUUUAUUAAGGUAACAGUAUGUUGAUUCAAAUAAUAGCAAGUUUUAUAUUGUCAUCUGCAUACUUACAGAGUCAUAGGGCUAUAUAUCUCCAGUUUUCUUAGAUCAUUGUCUAAAUGAAGUAAAUCAAGCAGCUAAAUUCUGAGAUGCAGUUUUGCUCUUUCUUGGGUCUCAAAUCGCUAUCAACCUUGAGUUUAUGGCAGACAAUGUCCAUGGACAACACUAAGAUUUGCAGUAACAAGCUAGGAACUCCAAAUUUCUGCAGGAUGUCCUGCACCAUAUAAUUCAAUUUGCUCAAGUAAAACACCAUGAAGAAGUGCUAAACAAUCUGUUAUGCCUCCAAUUAGUUAGGUCUGACUUAUGUGAAGUUAAUGACUUACAAGUUAGUAUAUCCACAAGUGUAGGGUAUGUAACAACACCGAGUGUUAGGCCUGCCUCUAUUAUCUGAUUGUAUAAUCUGAAGGUUUCAUUUGAUCUGCCCUCUUUUGAUAGGCCAGAAAUCAUCGUUCUGAAAGUCACCACAUCCAGAACUAAACCCUUUGUAGGAAUCUCGAUGAAAAGCUUCACAGCAACAUCUACUUUUCCUGAUAUGCAUUCCCGAUGUAAUAUAAGAUGUGUAUGUAUAGACAUCUGGGACAUCAUGACAAUCCUUAAACCUUCUCUCAUCGUACCUUUCUUACAAUAACCAUCUACAGUGCAUUGUAAGUAAUUGUGUUAGGUUUAACUCCCUUAGUAUCCAUCUCAAAUCUUCUUUCAUCGUACCUUUCUUACAAUAACCAUCUUCAGGGCAUUGCAAGUAAUUGCAUUAGGCUUAAAUCCUUUAUUUUCCAUCUCAAUAAGUAUUUUUAUUGCUUUAGCAAUAUUUCCCACCUUGCAACAACCAUCUAUCAGGGCAGUGUACGUUACUAUGUUAGGCUUCACUCCCUUAGUUUCCAUCUCAAUUAGUAUCUUUAUUGCUUUAGCAAUAUUUCCCACCUUGCAACAACCAUCUAUCAGGGCAGGAUACGUUACCGUGUUAGGCUUAACUCCCUUAGGUUCCAUCUCAAUAAGUACCUUUUCAGCUUUAGCAAGAUUUCGCACCUUGCAAUAACCAUGUAUCAGGGCAGUGUACGUUACUGUGCUAGGCGUAACUCCCUUAGUUCCAAUCUCACUAAAUACCGUUUUUGCUUCAAUGAAAUUUCCCUACUUGCAAUAACCGUCUAUCAGGGAACUGGCACUGUUUGUUGUUGUGUUGGGCUUAACUCCUUCAAUUUCCAUCACCCUAAGUAUCCUUUUUGCGUCAACAAUUUUUCCCAGCUUGCAAUAACCAUCUACUAGUGUAGUGUAUGUUGUCGUGUUAGGCUUAGUUUCCAUCUCAAUAAGUGUCCUUCUUGCUUCCACAAAAUUUCCCUACUUGCAAUAAAUAUCGAUCAAAGUUGUAUAACUAAUUGUAUCUAGAGCUACACCUCGAUCCACCAUUGAGAGCAACAACAUUUUUGCUUCAUCAUACAAUUCUAGCUUAAGCAGGCCCGUAGCAAUUAUAUUGUAAGCAUUUGCAUCAGGCUGAUGUCCUUCACCCUCCAUAAUUGUCUGUAGCCUCAGUGCUUCAUCCACAUUACCUUUCUUACAGUAACCAUCCAUCAUCGUAUUAAAUAUGACCCGGUCUAUGCUAAUGCCCUUGCCUUGCAUCUCAUUUUAGCAAAACUUCAGCUCCUUGCAUUAGUCCAGCCUUGCAGAAGACAUUUAUCAAUGCUCCAUACGUGUGAACAUCAGGAAUGAGGCCUCUCUCCACCAUUUCAACAAACGUUGAAAAUGCCUUCAUAACAUUACCUAACUUACUAUAACCACUAAUCAUGGAGGUGCAUAAAUGAACAUUUGGCUCUAUACCCUCUUUUCUAUUCCUUAAACAACCUCUCAACCUCUACAAGAUCGCCAAAAGUUGAAUAUCCUUUAAUCAGAAGCGUAUAACUAGUCAGAUUGAGAUCAAACCAUCUUUCUCGAUUUUCCUCAAAAUCUCCUUUACAACCACAAAAUCUUGUAUCUUCAUAUAUGCUUGUAACAAUAUGUUAGAAGUGUAAUCACUUGGUUUCACCCUUUUACUAGCCAUUUCAUCCAUGAGUUUUCUAGCCUCACAAACCUCCCCCAUUUUACACAAUCCAUCAACUACCACCGUCAUCGAAUAAACUGUAAUUUUCACAUUAAAUUCAACCAUCUUAUGGAAAAACUCGAACAACGAGUCAUAUUGCCUUUGCCUUUUCAUAGAAAGCAAGUAAACCAUACAAGCUCUAUCAUCAAUUCUAAAGCGCCUUUUUUCAUAUAAUCAAAAACUUAUAGAGCUUCAGUAAACCUCAUGUAAUUAACAUAAACACUAAAUAACAUAUUAAACAUCUUCCCUAUAACCUUACACUUUACAUGAUUCUCAUUCAACAAAGAAGCUAUUUUUGAAUCUGGUUUCCUCAGACCAUCAGUAACAACAACAGCAUUCAAUAUAUUCUCAGCUUCAGCAAACUCCUUGGAUUUUAACAAGUCUAGAAACACGGCUAAAUGGGUUUCAAGAUUGGGACUUUGCUUGAAAUUGAAGAAAUUUGAGCAAGAAGAAGAGGAAGGGGGAAAUAGGGAGAUUAAUUUGGCAAUUUCUUUAAUUGGUCUAUUGGGAAAUCGUUGUUUUACCGGUUGAUAAACCUUUUGAGUCGACAUGUGAAUAACAACUCAAUACCUAUAAACUUGAGCAGUGCAAUUUGAAAUUUUCAUUUCUGAACUUUAGAAAUAUAGGUUACCUCUAUUUUGCCCUUGCUGGAAGAUGUUGAAAGGAGUCAAAAGAAGAAUUGUUUUCGACUGUUCAUUGCCAGUGCUACUUCGUUAGCCUCGUAGUGAGUUGCUUUAACAUUAGCUAGUUUCAUUCUUUGUUGUAUCUCCUCAAUAAUGAAAUUCAGCUUGUAGUUGGAUUGCUGGUUGUUCACAAUCAUCGGAAAUAGGAUCAAAGAGUCUGUAUCUUUGGUGAAGUUCUUCAGAUUUUUCAGAAGGCAGAGGCUUAGUCCAUAACUGGCAGCCUUAGCUUCUGCUUAUGUGCUGCUGCAACAACUCGAAGGUGAGCAGAAAACCAAGAUGAGAUUGCCUCUAUCAUCCCUCGAAACUCCCCUCAUAACAGAUUUUCCACUAGCUGAGCAGUAGCUUCCGUAAGUUUUCAAUUUAAGGAUGCCAUUUUCAGGGAACUUCCAGCAUACAAUAGAAAGGUAUGAGAAAGGUUCCAGCUGCACAAAUUUUUCACAAAGAGUGAUCCAAAGUAAUGUCAAACCAACUUUUGGAUAAGCUUUAGCAAUUGUACUCUGAAUGCUGCAGCCAAUGUGUUGGAUCAUCAUAUAUCUGUUGAAAUUCCUUAAGCCUCCAUAAUUACUACACUCGGACCUUUGUUUCAAAAUCUCCAAACAGAUAAGGCCUGGUAUAGUUUGAAGAACUAGCUUGUCGAUGGAGUUAUUUGAUUUUUGAUUCCACCAGUUGUAAGUUCUGAUUGCCAGUGGCCCUCCAAAGUGCUUCCACACAUAUUGAGCUGCCUCUCCAUGAAGAAAAACAUGUUGCAUUUGAUUUUCAUUUUAGGAAGAGAGCAGCAGUUGCAUAGAGUAUCCUUCAGAAUACCAAAUCUGCUAAUGACUUCGUCAAAAGAAAGUUCACUGCCAGAAUUUCCAAACGAAAAAUGAAAUCUAAAAAGGAAUGUUGGAGUUCCAUACCUGAUCAAUAUUGUGGUCUGUUGGAAUAUUUCCCAUCUUCUGUGAGGUCCCAAAAGACCUUGUCUUGAGUGUCAUACUUGCCAAUUCCAAUGGUCUUGAUCUGUUGAAUUGUGCUAUCUCAUAGGAUGUUCUGCAUCUUUGCAUUGCCCCAAGUUCCAUUAUUAAUGAAAUGUCUUACUAGAGUCUCGGUAUUCUUCUCUGUUUCAUGGUAAUCAUUGGCUAGAGGACCUUUGCUACUCCAGUUGUCCCGCCAAAAAACUACAAUUUCCAGAAGGGUAGUAAUCAGAAAAGAAAAUUGUGGAGAUAGUAUAAAUCAAGUAUUGGUGUUGUCAAAGACUCAGAAGCGAGGUGCAUAACAGUUCGAGUGCUUCACCCUCACUUAGUUGGCGCUUCAGUGCAGCCACAAAGGUACUAAAGCAUACACCUUAUCACCAAUGGGCUUUAUCCUUGCACGUAAAUUUCUAAAUUCUUUUAUCCUUACUAUAAUUUUCAUUUGUACUUGCAAUUAUUAUUCGUCAAUUACAUUUGUUUCAUUUUACUUUAUCCUUCAUUUCCACAUUUCCAACUAAGUCCAUGCUUUAACUGUCCUUUGCGUUUAAAGGCUUAAGUCCCACCAAAGCUUAAGUUUUUUCCCUUCGAUAACACUCUCAAAUAUAUCCAAAAUACUAACCAUGCAGAAUUUUCUCUUCUAUAUCCAACAAGCAAUGACUCUUAACCUUCAUAUGUUCAACAUGGAACUGAUAUCAAGUUACAAGUUACAAGUAUGGGGUCUACACCUAUAUACUGCACAUGAAGACUAAACUUUUCAACAAGCACAAGAUAUGGUCCUUAAUUUUAAUCCUUUUGACAUGCACAUGUACAUAUUAGAAUACAAACUUCAGACAUAAUAGAAGCAUUCUACAUCAAUAAACUAUACAAAAGCACACGUACAAUAGCUAAUGGUUUAACUCAGUGAAUUCCAGUUUAAUUAAAAAACAAUCUGCUAUAUAUACUUCUGACUGGCUAAAUCUAAUCCAAAUAAAGUUCACGAUGUACAAGUUUAUAGAGAAGAAUUUCUCACACUAAGUGCAGAGUAUGCAGCAGCAUCAUGUAUUACGCCUGCCUCUAUCAUCUGAUUGUAUAAUCGGAGGGCUUCACCUGAUCUGCCUUCUUUUGAUAAGCCAGAAAUCACUGCUGUAUAAGUCACAACAUUCGGAACUAAACCCUUUGUAGGCAUCUCAUUGAAAAGCUUCAGAGCAUCAUCUACCUUUCCUGAUUUGCAUUCCCCAUGUACAAGUGAGGUGUAUGUAUAGACGUUAGCUAUCAAGUCCUUAGAUUCCAUGACAAUUCUUAGCUUAUAAGCUUCAUUCAUUAUACCUUUCUGGCAAUAACCAUCUAUCAGUGCAGUGUAUGUCUUGGUGUUAGGCUUAACUCCGUUACUCUCCAUCUCAAGAAGUAUCCUUUUAGCUUUAACAAAAUCUCCUUGCUUACACUUAGUUUCCAUCUCAAUAAGUGCCCUUUUUGCUUCCACAAAAUUUCCCUGCUUGCAAUAAAUAUCGAUCAAAGUUGUAUAACUAAUUGUAUCUGGAGCUACACCUCGAUCCACCAUUGAGAGCAACAACAUUUUUGCUUCAUCAUACAAUUCUAGCUUAAGCAGGCCCGUAGCAAUUAUAUUGUAAGCAUUUGCAUCAGGCUGAUGUCCUUCACCCUCCAUAAUUGUCUGUAGCCUCAGUGCUUCAUCCACAUUACCUUUCUUACAGUAACCAUCCAUCAUCGUAUUAAAUAUGACCCGGUCUAUGCUAAUGCCCUUGCCUUGCAUCUCAUUUAGCAAAACUUCAGCUCCUUGCAUUAGUCCAGCCUUGCAGAAGACAUUUAUCAAUGCUCCAUACGUGUGAACAUCAGGAAUGAGGCCUCUCUCCACCAUUUCAACAAACGUUGAAAAUGCCUUCAUAACAUUACCUAACUUACUAUAACCACUAAUCAUGGAGGUGCAUAAAUGAACAUUUGGCUCUAUACCCUUCUUUUCUAUUUCCUUAAACAACCUCUCAACCUCUACAAGAUCGCCAAAAGUUGAAUAUCCUUUAAUCAGAAGUGUAUAACUAGUCAGAUUGAGAUCAAAACCAUCCUUCUCCAUUUUCCUCAAAAUCUCCUUUACAGCCACAAAAUCGUGUAUCUUUAUAUAUUCUUGUAACAGUAUGUUAUAAGUGUAAUCACUUGGUUUCACCCUUUUACUAGCCAUUUCAUCUACCAGCUUUCUAGCCUCACAAACCUCCCCCAUUUUACACAAUCCAUCAACUACCACCGUCAUCGAAUAAACUGUAAUUUUCACAUUAAACUCAACCAUCUUAUGGAAGAACUCGAACAACGAAUCAUAUUGCCUUUGCCUUUUCAUAGCAAGCAAGUAAACCAUACAAGCUCUAUCAUCAAUUCUAAAGCGCCCUUUUUUCAUAUAAUCAAAAACUUGUAGAGCUUCAGUAAACCUCAUGUUAUUAACAUAAACACUAAAUAACAUAUUAAACAUCUUCCCUAUAACCUUACACUUUACAUGAUUCUCACUCAACAAAGAAGCUAUUUUUGAAACUGGUUUCCUCAAACCAUCAGUAACAACAACAGCAUUCAAUAUAUUCUCGGCUUCAGCAAACUCCUUGGAUUUUAACAAGUCCACAACCAAGGCUAAAUGGGUUUCAAGAUUGGGACUUUGCUUGAAAUUGAAGAAAUUUGAGCAAGAAGAAGGAGAAGGGGGAAAGAAGGAGAUUAAUUUGGCAAGUUCUUUAAUGGGUCUCUUGGGAAAACGUUGUUUUACCGGUUGGUAAAAUUUUUGAGUCGACAUGUGAAGAACAACUCAAUACCUGUAAACUUGAGCAGUGCAAUUUGAAAUUUUCAUUUCUGAACUUCAGAAAUAAAGGUUACCUCUUAACACAAGUGCAGAUGCCAUGUUUUCCGGCGAGUUUCGGCGAGUUCCCGGCGAGUUCAGCAAAUUUAUAAAACUGUAGUGUGAAGCUUUUUAAGAGAAUUUAGAGAAGACGGCGUGAAGAACUUUGAUUGAAGUACAAAUGAAUCCUCAUAAAAUGUGUACAAAUUGACCCUCUAUAAUUUUAAGAAGUUAAAUUUAGUCCUCAUAUUUGACGUUUUGCUACUAAUUUGGUGCAAUUAUUCCUCUCCAAUCUCCAUCAACUCAAUUUCAAAUUUUACACCUCGUGGAACUUAAAUUUCUCAUUGAAUUUUAUUUAGACAUUUAAAUUAUAAUUUCUUCUAAUUGAAAAUUUGAACACAUAAUAAACGGAUAAAGUAUUCUUAAUAAGCACUUUCUAUUCAUAAUUGAGUUGAUUUCUCAUAUUGUUACUCAAUUAGUAGUUAUUAUCUCGUAAAGUCACUUUUUUUUUGUUGAAGAUAAAUGGAAUUAAAAAAAUAAUUGAGAUAAGUAUUAGUUAAAUGACCAUGUGGAACAAACACUUCAUAUUUUGGAAAAGUUUAUGUAUGUGAGAGUUUAUCACAUAAAUAAAUUAAUUACAUUAAAUAUAUCACCUCUUUUUAUCAUACACAUAAGCAUCAAUUGGAACAUAUACAAGGUGUGAUAGCUUAUUAAGGCUAAUGUAUGUAACUAAAGGAGGUGAUAUAUUUUAAAUAGUAAACUUAUUUAUUAUAAUGAACGCUUGAGAAUACGCACAAAAACUUCUUAAUUUUUAUUUAAUUAAAGUGUAGUAAAAACAAUUUAUCUUUAACAAGAAGACAUUUAAUUGAAUUUUACAUGAAAUAUUUUUCUUUAACCAUUAUAGUAUCUUAACAAUAUUAUCUCUUUCUAACAUUGAAAUCUUUGAAAUUGUGUUGGAGUAGUAAGUACUCUUUCAUCAUUAACCAAGAGGUCUCGGGUUCGAGUCGCCUUUGUUAGGAAGCAGUUUACCCCUAAUGUGGAACUUCCCAGCGCGAAUACGGAUUUAGUUGACCAUAUCAAUGUUUCAAAAUCCAUUCAAGUUUAGGUGAUACAAUAAAAAAGGCCAAAACUAAAAAUACAAGAAAUACAAUUCAUUAUAUUUAAUUUAGUUACUAAUCCAUGAUUUCCUCAUACCACAGCUUGGCCUUGCCUCACAAUACAACACAAGGAUAAAACACUUUACCCUUUGCAAAAGGAGGGUUAGGAGACUAAUAUCUACAAGUACUGGUUGUUCACAAUCAUAGGAAAUAGGUAGUUGGAUUACUGGUUGUUCACAAUCAUAGGAAAUAGGUUCAAAGAGUUUGUCUCUUUGGUGAAAUUCUUCAGAUUUUUCAAAAUGCAGAGGCUCUUAGUCCAAAACUGGCAGCCUUAGCUUCUGCUUCUGUGAUGCUGCUACCACUCGAAGGUGAGGAGAAAGCGAAGAUGAGAUUGCCUCUAUCAUCCCUCAAAACUCCCUUCAUACCAGAUUUUCCACUAGCUGAGCAGUAGCUUCCGUCAGUUUUCAAUUUAAUGACGCCAUUUUCAGGGAACUUCCAGCAUACAAUAGAAAG